GACGAGUUCAAAAAUGAUGCCAGUUGGUUAAAAAACAUUGCCACCACGGGGGCGGGGCUAUUUUCCUUAUAUGGCUAUAGUAAAACCUUGUUAACACUCUAGAGGUCACAUUUAUUUUCCGAUCAUCAUGAAACUUGGUCAGAAGAUUUGUCCCAAUGAUAUCUUGGAUGAGUUCGAAAAUGGUUUUGGUUGCUUUAAAAA